rnacentral:rRNA from 1 species
CUACGAAGGGGGCUAGCGUUGUUCGGAAUUACUGGGCGUAAAGCGCGCGUAGGCGGAUUGGUCAGUUAGGGGUGAAAUCCCAGGGCUUAACCCUGGAACUGCCUCUAAUACUGCCAGUCUUGAGUUCGGGAGAGGUGAGUGGAAUUCCUAGUGUAGAGGUGAAAUUCGUAGAUAUUAGGAAGAACACCAGUGGCGAAGGCGGCUCACUGGCCCGAUACUGACGCUGAGGCGCGAAAGCGUGGGGAGCAAACAGGAUUAGAAACCCGAGUAGUCC